rnacentral:lncRNA from 1 species
AGAAGGAGAAAAACAGCAGAAGAAGAAGAACGCGUUUCAAGCUUUGAUCCUCCAUUUCUGCAAUUUUUCCUUUGAUUUAUAGAGGUAAGUUUAAGUAUGUUGAAUUAUAUUUUUAAUUUUAUGGAAAAAUUUCUCAAAUUUAAGGUUUAGCAAAAAUUAAUGUUUAUUGAUAUAUGUUUGAUGAAUUAAACAAAAAUAGUAAUAUUAGUGCUGAAAGAAAUGAAAGGUGAAAUGGGAUUGUAAAUUAGAGUUUCAAUCUUUAAUUUAUUGUGUUUAUAUUAUAUAAAAUGCUUGAUUUAUGAGGUAUUAGAGUGGUGAAAUGAUUUGGGGUAAGAUUUUGAUAAUUACAAUUACAUUUCGUGCAAAAUUCAUGUGUAGGUGCUAAUUCUAAAAUUCUGCCAUAUACAAAAAUUGGUGCCAGAUUUCUAUAUUCUAGAAUUUUAGUGCUAUUUUUAUCAAACCAUGGAUUUCCAGAUUUUUAAAUGUUUGAAUGAAUAUAUAUGACAAAUAUUGAAGUUUAUGUAUUUGACUAACUAUGUAUAGGGAUUGUAUAUGUAUAAGGUAGUGAUUUUAAGGAAGUGUAAGUGGUGUAAAGAAUUUGAUAGUAUAUGAUGAUUAGUUGAUAAAUCAAGGAUUGCUGGUUGGCGGGCGAUGGGGUGUCAUUACGGUGACAGGAUAUUCAAAAUUAAUAAAUCAAAUCCACGUAAUGUAGCGAAACAUUUUAAUUUCAACACCUUAUUUUCGUUUUUUAGGGAUAUUAUUUUAUGAUUUAAGGCGUGAUUUAAUUGUUUUAUAAAAUGAUUUGUGAAAGAUACAUUAGUGAGAUUAAUACAUUAUCAUUUAGUUAAUAAAUGUGAAAUGUGUGAUUUCUAAAAUAUAUACUUUUUUGCGAUGAGUUCCUUCUAUUACUUAAAUUGUACUCAUAAAUUUUAUGUGUUUUUGUUGUUAAAAUAAAUUAAUUGUGAUUUCAAAUCCUUAGAAUUUUGGUCGUUAUAGUUUGGCAUCAGAGCCUAAGUUUAUUUUUUGUUGUCUCAUUAUGAUUUUAUGUAAUAAUUUUUAAAAAUUUUUCUUUUAUAUUGAUGAUCAUUGUUAUAAAUGUUUACAUGUUUAGCCUAGAGUUUUAGUGAUAAUUGUUGUCAAUUAAUAUUUUUCUUAAGAGAAAUAAAUUUUAAAGAUGAUAAAUUUUUUUAUACUGUUCCUUUAAGGAUGGAAAGUUAUUGGGAAAAAAAUUGACGUGUCACUAUUCAUGUGAACGGUAAAUAGUGAACCAAAAAAAAAAAAAUUGAAAAAGGAAAGAUGUAUGCACCAUAAUUAUCUUGGAGAAUCAUGAUCAAAUUACCUGGAUUAGUGCUGGAAAGUUGAAAAUAUCCUUUAACUUUUAACUUAAUGUUAAUUGCAUUAAUUUGGUACUAAUUGAUUUAAAAGUUUGGAAAUUAUUAUCUGUGCUAAUCCUUGGGUCUUUGAUCUCCUUUACUUUCCCAUUUGCUCAUACACUUUUAAUAGUGAGAGAUAAAUAAAUAAAAUGACUCUUUUACCUUUUUUUUUUUUUUCUCCAAAUAGUAGUAUUUUUCUGCCACUUCCAUCCCUGCUUAUGCUCUUCUAUUAUUUUCUUUAUUUUUUCAAUUGUUCACUUUAUUAUGGAAAUGAUUAUUGCUGUUAUUUAAAGUUUGAAAUGUGUUCACGUUAAUUUAAAAGUAUGAUAUUGAUAUAUUAUUUACAUUCUUCUAUAUCAUUUUGAAAAAAUAAUAAUAAUAAAAAAAUAGAAGAAGGCUUCGUUACUUUCAUAUGUAUCUUCUACCUGCUGGAAUUCAAACUUUCUUCAUGAGGUACAAAGUUAUACUAACUUAAUAAACUAAAUGGUGGUUAAUUAUAUAUUGCAUGAUAAUAUUAUUUGUUAAAUCCUCUGAAUGACCCUGAGUAUGUAAGUGCAUGUAUACGUGUGUAUGGGUUUGUAUAAUUUAAAUAUAGAAUUCUUAGUUUUUGAACAUUUUCCCCAAAGCCCAAUGCUAUAAUUAACAAUUCUUAAAUUCUCUACACUUUCAAUUUACUGAUUGUGUGUAUAUAUAUAUAUAUAAAAGGUUGAACCUCAACCCUGAGGGCCUUCACCGUCCCGCCCUUAGAGCUUUGUGAGGGAGAUAAAUCGCGGGAGCCAACAGGUCAGGGAACAAAAGCUACCUAUACACUGAGCUUACAAGGAGUCCAAAUCCAUAUCUCAGGAAUCGAACCCCUACACUGCAGCUGCCAGCAAGACGUGAGAUAACCUCACUCAUGUCCUUUGUACCAUUGGACUAUGCCCCGAGGGGCUACUGAUUGUGUGUAUAUAGUUGUAUGUAAGUGUGUUUGCACAUUUCCAUGGCUUCUCUAUUUUCUUUCAUUUAUUUUCCAUUAAAACCAUUAGCUCAUAUUGAAUUUAAAACCACUGCCAAUCAAUACUUAAAGCCAAAUUACAUUAAUUUAAUAUUUUAAUUACAUAUCUUGUCAUAUUGGUAAGAGCUCUAUCCGGCGGAUAGUAGGUGGGUCAAGGGCCAGUGAAAUGAAAAAUUUCAAAAGAAAUUAUUUUGAAUUGAUUUCGACAAAUAUUUGAAUACGAUGCAUUUUUAGCAUGACGUGAUGUAAUAUAUUAUUAUUAUCAUACUCAUGACAUGUAUGAUUUUUGUUUACUAAGCAUUAGUUUAUGUAAUUCUUGCAUUGUAGGUGAGCAUAGAUGUUCUAGUUGGCUGUAAAGCUUUUAUGGGAUUUCAGAGUUUAAUGUACAUGGAUGCCGACCUUUAAGGUUAUUUUGUAGACUUCAACUAUAUUAUAUUUUGGAAACUCGUAUUGUAUGUACAUACCUUUUGAAGUGGCCUCUUGAUACUUUUAUUAUUACAACCCAAAUUUUACUGGUCAAAAAUCAAAAGUAGAAUUGUAAAAGUCAAAGUAAAAAAGGGAUUAAAAUGAAAUAAAUUAUUUUAAUUGGGACUUAAUUUAUUACGACAAAUAUUUUGAAGGUUUAAGUUUAACAAAAUAAAAAUGUUGGGAUCCAUUUAUAUAUUUUAGGAAGUUCAGGAUUUAAUUUACAUUCUACUUAAGAAGAGGGGGACUUUCCUUGUAAUAUGGAGUAAGUGGACCUUUAUAUUACAACCUUUGAUCCAUUUUACAAUUGAAAACGCACACAAACACAUACUAGAGCCGGCUGAGAGGGAGAGAAACCGAGAAGAAUUGAGAAAGAGGUAGAGAAAAGGAAAACAAGAUGGAGAAAAGAAGAAAGAAAAGGAAGAAGAAGAAGAAGAAGAAGAAGGAAGAGGAAGAAAAAAUGAUGGCAAUACCAACAUGGUCCUUAAAGUUCUUCCUUAAUUUCUUCAGGUUAGUAAAAGAUGUAUUUAUGGAAAAUAAUUCUUGAAUUUAAGGUUUGUAAACAAUUACUCAUGUUUAAAGUUUGACAAUAAUUAAAGAUUAUGAAUAUGUAUUUGAGGUUAUAACUAAACUAUGGCAGAGAAAUAUGUAAUUGUCAAUUAGUGUCGAAGAAAGUGGAAUUUGAGAUGGGUUUGUGAAAGAAAUACAUAUUAUUUGAAAUUCUUGGGACUAUAUGAUGUUAAACACUUAAAUUAAGGAUUUGAUGUUGAAAUUCUCCAUUUUUUCUAAAGAAAUUUUCGGGUUAAGUAAUGAAGGUGCUAUUUAAGAAAUUUUCCCAGAAACGUGUUAUUUCUAUCCAUAUUUUGGUACACAGUUUUCAAUAUACAGAAUUUCGUGUCAUAAUUCAAUAUUGUGGAACUUUAGUGCCAUUUUUGUCAAACAAAUGUUGAAGCCUAUGUAUUGGACUAAAUUAUAUACAGGGGUUGUAUAUAAAGUAUUGGACUAAAUUAUAUAUAGGGGUUGUGUAUAUAAAAGCUAAGUUAUACCAUUUUUAAUAAACCCUAGAAUUUUUAAUUACAUUCUAGAGUAAAGAUAGUUUGGGAAAAUGAUAGUUAUCACAAAAUAUUCACUUGGAAGAAUGGUUAUAUGGAACAAAAUGUAAAUUUAAUUGGUUGAAUUAUGGUUAUUAGUUUUGCUAGAUUGAAAGAUGGGAUAAUUAUUUUCAUGAUUAGAAUAAAGGUAUUCUGAUGAAUUAGCUAUUAGAAAAUGGAGUAGAAAAUGGAAUUAGCUUAAAGUGAUUAAAGGAAAUUGGGGAAAAUUAUUCAAGUAUCGAGAAAUCAAGUUUUAGAUACGAUCAUCAAUAUUUAAAACUACUUAGCAGGAUAGUGUUUAAAUUAGUUAUUUUACAUUGUCUUUCAGGUGAUGGCCAAGAGAUGGGGAAAAUUUGUCGACCAUCAUAACCACUAGCUUGUUUAGAGUAAGUGGAAAUAAAACUUAUUUUUUCAGAAAUAAGUAUUUAUUGAAUUUUGAAGUUACGAAUUUUAUAAGUUGAGUUGAUAGCAUGAUUUUUCAUAAUAAAAUGAAUUUUAUUAUCAAAUGUUUUUAAAGGUUAAAUUCAAUUCAGUUAAAUUAUUUCAUUGGCAUAUUAUUUCAGUAUUAAAAUUUUUAGCAUAUUUAACGUUAUUAUUUAAAAUCACCAGAAAGUGCCCAUGUGAUUUUACCCGCUUUACACUGGUGUGAAUGUAUUUUCUUAGUUUAUGACCAGUUAUGGUGAUUUUACCCGCUCUGCACUAUUGUGAAUGUGUUUCCAUAGUGUAUGACAAGAUAGCUCUGUGCGCGUAUGACCAGAAUUUCAGAAUUAAAUAACUUUACCAUGUAUAUCGGUACUAAUCGAUACAUGAGUAAGGUUAUUCCGAGGUAUCAUUUUGGGUGAUUUUCCAGUAUUAUACAGCUAAUUAGAUUUUAGACUACAAAAUUUAGCUUAUUCAGUUUUCAGAGUAAUGAUUUAUUUAUAUUUAUUAUACCUUACAGCUGCUUAUCUAGAAUUAAGAACAAAGAAUUUUAUGAUACAAUAAUGUUUAGUUUUAAAAGUGUUACUAAAUUUCAGAAUUUCUCAAGGUUUUAAUAGAGCAAGAAUUUUCAGAAAAUAUGUAUAAAUGGAUAAAAUAUACUCAUUUGCAAAUUAUCUACUCACUGAGCUAUAAGCUCAUAUAUUUUGUAAUCCCUUUUCUUUUCAGAUAGUAGCUGAAUUGAGUAGCGAUAGAGCCUGUUGAUUUGCCAAAUUGAGCAACGCAUUAUCAUUAGUUGUAUAACUUGUUUUUUUCUUUUUUAUAUAUUUCAUUUACUAGAAUACAU